GCGUGGGCUACGAAAAGGGAGGCGGUUCUUCGAGAGCUGUCAUGAACGCAGAUUGUUCCGCUGCCCACUGCAUAGCAGCCAAUUCGCAAAGGGAAACUGUACUUUUCAUCAGGCUGACAUCAACAUCUCCCUUCAAUGGCAGUGCCCAGAAUGGGACACAAUGUGAUUCCAGGUAAAGUGGUCUGACCAAGGCGGAAUAGAAUAGAGGGGGAGCAGGACUUCCCUGGAUCUAGACACUUUAUUUAUUUACUAGCUGUGCCCGGCCACGCGUUGCUGUGGCAAAGUGGUGGUGGUAUUGGUUAAAAAUUGUUGUGUAAUUUUUAUUUGACGUUAUUUGCAUUUUUAUAUUAAUUUUAUUGUAAGUUAUAUUUUUAUUAUAUUUUAUUAUUUUCUUGUAUUAUUUUUAGUUAUUUUCUGUUAUUAUAGUAUUUUAUUGUAUUAAUUUUUUUAGUGUUUUUUAUUUUUUUUAUUGGGUUGCUAGGAGACCAAGUUGGAGGAGCUUAGCCUUCUAACUGGCAGCAAUUGGAUAAAAGCAAUUAUUCCUCUCUCUCUAAUUAGGAGUUUAUUUUUCUUUUCUUUUUGUUGUAUCAACCUAGAGGCGUGGAUGAUGGGUUGUGUCAUCAAAUUUCGAGGUUGGGGGGCCUGUAAUUUUGUUGUUUUGUGGGUCACCGUGAUGCCAUCACUCUUUUAUAUAUAUAGAUUUCAUGUCAAAAGCAUUGCAUAAUAAAUAAGUUUAAAAGCAAUAAAAUAAAGGAAUCAUAAACAACUACAGCAGAGUCUCACUUAUCCAACACUCGCUUAUCCAACGUUCUGGAUUAUUCAUUUACAAAAAUCAGAUCAGGGUUGCUAUUGAAAUAUAUUGAAUAUCGGCUGCUAUUGAAAGAUGGUG
rnacentral:lncRNA from 11 species